GUUACAGUAUGACUGAGAACUGGCUGAGUUCAACACUUAAUCUGGGAGGAGGAGGAGAGAGGUGGAGUUACAGUAUGACUGAGGCCUCCCCCAGCAGCCUGGCCGAGUUCAACACUUAAUCUGGGAGGAGGAGAGAGGUGGAGUUACAGUAUGACUGAGGCCUCC